UUUAUUUCAAUAGUCUUGCUGAAGAAAAUCGUGGGAGAGAGAGAGAGAGAGAGAGAGAGCCUUGUGCUGGAACCCAAAUCAAGAGCUUAAGAGAAGAAGCAUAAAGAAGAAAAGAAGGAAAUCAAGAAAUCUCACCACAUUGGAGACUCUAGGACGAACUUUCGUAGAGGAUUACUGGAAACAAGCCCACUGUGAGCAUCAGGAAGAUCAAUAUUAGAGUUUGCUUUGGAGUUCACCCAUUUUAUCAAGCCAUACGAAGAUGUGCCUCCAUGUUGAGGCUUUAGCUGUUGUUUUUGACAAGCUUGUUAAGCUUUACUUUGUCAAAGUCCUAUAUGUAUGAUUUGGGAUGUAUAAGAUAUCCAUUGUGUGUAUAUAUAGAUAUAUAUAUUAAA